rnacentral:rRNA from 1 species
UGGGGAAUAUUGGACAAUGGGCGAAAGCCUGAUCCAGCCAUGCCGCGUGUGUGAAGAAGGUCUUCGGAUUGUAAAGCACUUUAAGUUGGGAGGAAGGGUUGUAGAUUAAUACUCUGCAAUUUUGACGUUACCGACAGAAUAAGCACCGGCUAACUCUGUGCCAGCAGCCGCGGUAAUACAGAGGGUGCAAGCGUUAAUCGGAAUUACUGGGCGUAAAGCGCGCGUAGGUGGUUUGUUAAGUUGGAUGUGAAAUCCCCGGGCUCAACCUGGGAACUGCAUCCAAAACUGGCAAGCUAGAGUAUGGUAGAGGGUGGUGGAAUUUCCUGUGUAGCGGUGAAAUGCGUAGAUAUAGGAAGGAACACCAGUGGCGAAGGCGACCACCUGGACUUGUAGUGACGCUGAGACGCGAAAGCGUGGGGAGCAAACAGGAUUAGAUACCCCCGUAGUCCCUGAGCGGGCUGGCAAGGCGCAU